rnacentral:rRNA from 1 species
ACCCGCGGCAAGACGGAAAGACCCCGUGAACCUUUACUAUAGCUUGACACUGAACAUUGAGCCUUGAUGUGUAGGAUAGGUGGGAGGCUUUGAAGUGUGGACGCCAGUCUGCAUGGAGCCGACCUUGAAAUACCACCCUUUAAUGUUUGAUGUUCUAACGUUGACCCGUAAUCCGGGUUGCGGACAGUGUCUGGUGGGUAGUUUGACUGGGGCGGUCUCCUCCUAAAGAGUAACGGAGGAGCACGAAGGUUGGCUAAUCCUGGUCGGACAUCAGGAGGUUAGUGCAAUGGCAUAAGCCAGCUUGACUGCGAGCGUGACGGCGCGAGCAGGUGCGAAAGCAGGUCAUAGUGAUCCGGUGGUUCUGAAUGGAAGGGCCAUCGCUCAACGGAUAAAAGGUACUCCGGGGAUAACAGGCUGAUACCGCCCAAGAGUUCAUAUCGACGGCGGUGUUUGGCACCUCGAUGUCGGCUCAUCACAUCCUGGGGCUGAAGUAGGUCCCAAGGGUAUGGCUGUUCGCCAUUUAAAGUGGUACGCGAGCUGGGUUUAGAACGUCGUGAGACAGUUCGGUCCCUAUCUGCCGUGGGCGCUGGAGAACUGAGGGGGGCUGCUCCUAGUACGAGAGGACCGGAGUGGACGCAUCACUGGUGUUCGGGUUGUCAUGCCAAUGGCACUGCCCGGUAGCUAAAUGCGGAAGAGAUAAGUGCUGAAAGCAUCUAAGCACGAAACUUGCCCCGAGAUGAGUUCUCCCUGACUCCUUGAGA